CCUACGGGUGGCUGCAGUGGGGAAUAUUGCACAAUGGGGGAAAGCCUGAUGCAGCGACGCCGCGUGAGUGAAGAAGGAAUUCGGGAUGUAAAGCUCUAUCAGCAGGGAAGAAAAUGACGGUACCUGAGUAAGAAGCCCCGGCUAACUACGGGCGAGCAGCCGCGGUAAUACGUAGGGGGCAAGCGUUAUGCGGAUUUACUGGGGGUAAAGGGAGCGUAGACGGCAGGGCAAGUCUGGCGUGAAGGGCGGGGGCUCAACCCCCGGACUGCUCUGGAAACUGUACGGCUGGAGUGCAGGAGAGGUAAGUGGAAUUCCUGGUGUAGCGGUGAAAUGCGUAGAUAUUUGGAGGAACACCAGUGGCGAAGGCGGCUUACUGGACUGUAACUGACGUUGAGGCUCGAAAGCGUGGGGAGCAAACAGGAUUAGAUACCCGGGUAGUC
rnacentral:rRNA from 1 species